UCCCAGUUCAGGGCAGAUUAGAACUAGCAAGUGAGAGGUAGAUGAAGUGAGGGCAGCUGGUCAGGGAGGGAAGAGACACAGGUGGAAACCAGCACACAAGAUGUGGCACUGGAGGGCCAUCGAGUGUCCAGACAAACAGGUGCUCCCCUUCUGCCGCCCCAGUGUGUGCUGGAUACAGGCCAGUGACUGAGCCAUCACGACGGCCACGUGUCGUCAAAGGAAGUUUGCUUUCUUUCUGUUUUAGGAGGGGGAUGAGGCUGAAAAAUGUUUAAUAACACUACUUUGUAAACAAGGAAAAGGUUAAAUGAUUAAAAGGGUACACUUAUCUGAAAAGUCACACAGAGAACAAACUCACUAAACUCAACGAAUGAGUAUAAUAUACCCACAGAGAUGCAUGCAAAUAGAACCUCUAGAAAGUCAUCCAGAGAAAAGGAGGGAAAGAGCAGCAGGCAGUAGUCUGCUUGCUACGGAGAGCACUUCAUUUCAGGGUCCGCACGAGAAGCCCUGGAGAAGCCAAGCUGGCGACUGAGUACAAGGCUUUGCUCUUCUGCCAGUGGCUUGAAUAGACUCUGGUGGCUCAGAGAGCUGCCUAAGCUAUUCUCUCAGAAGCCCACUAGUGGGAAACAAAUAAGCUGCUUGACUUUUCUUGGUAGGAGGGGGUUGAACACUCCUAAUUCAAUGUAAAUAAUUCUCAAAGCCAAGCACUUGCAGCAAAAAUGACUGGAAUGGUCACAGACACUAAAACUGUGCCGUGCAAAACAGGUCCUGGGUCUCUGUGUGCACAAACACAGAGCCCAGCAGCUGAUGUAGUUACUCCGGGAGAAGCCACUCCAACCCAGUCAUUCCCAGCUACAUGCCGGGUGCCAGGGAGCUGCUACACUCCACUGGCACCAGAGUCUAAAGUUUGGGGUGGCUUGUUUACCAAGGAUGUGGGCAUGAAGGAUGCAGUGCUGAGGUGUGAGACGAACAUGGGGGUUCUCUGCAAUCCUCCAGUCACCUUUCAAUCUUGCAGAGCCUACACCCAACAGAGCACUGCUCUGCUUUAACACAGAAACUUACAAAUAUGCAAAUCAAGGUAAAUAAAAAGGAAAAAUUGGGUACCUUUUCUGAUUACUCACCCAUUUGUGUGUGUGUUACACACAAUUUUUAAAUGAACAGUAGGUGAUGUAUGAACCUCAGUGUUAUUUAAGGAAAACCCAUAAACAAUUAAAUAAAUUUACCAAGAAUGAAACGUAAGACUUUAGAUUAGUGGUUUCGAGUGGUCUUUUUUUACUUCAUGCAAGAAUAUUACCACCUACACUGAGACUGUGCUACUAGUAAAUUAUGAUUAUUAUCAUCAACCCAUUAUUAGUCAACAAUUUGCUGGCAUGGUCCUAAAUAAUCUACAUUCAUUAUCUUAUUUUAUUAUCAUAAUAGCAUGAGUCUAAGUAUUAAACCAGUUUUACUGAUGGAGAAAAUGAGGCCUAGAGCUGUGAUUUGCUGGGGGAGCCAGAACAAGGAAAAGCUUGGGGUCCCAGAAAACACAGAUUCAUCCCAGAGGCAAAGGCUUAAUCACACCAGAGUUACAACAAUAGAUUCAUCUGCUGAUGGACAUACUGGAUGUGCUACUUCUAAAGUUGAGCAAUCGUGAAUUGUGCUGCUAUAAACGCAUGGCGGGGGUCUUUGGACCUUGGCCUCCAGGCAGACUGCUCAGAGAAGGGAAGAGGACAGACUACAAGGCAGAGCCUCUGAGCAGACGCAAGAAAGGCCCUGGGAGACUGGAGCCAUGCCUAACACCAGCCCCUGCCCACAUUCCCCGUCGGAUGGGGCUUGUGCUGGGGUCUGCCUGGAUCGCCUGCUCAUCCACGAGGCAGGGAAGAAGCAGCACGCGGCUCCUCUCCCACUCAGGACGUGGGCUGUACACUGCACUUCUUUGGGCUUCAGCUUCUGCAUCGGUAAAGCACACCGAGGGACAUUCAUACUUCACCAGAUUCUUGAGUGAUUUAAAUAACCCCCUACAAACAAGCGCUUAGAACAGAGCCUGCAAAUACCAAACCCUCACUAUUUAUCCGUUGUUUUCACCAUUUAAUAAACUAAUCCCCGACAUAGGUACAGUGGUUAGAAUCGUGUCACAGAGGAGAAAACUGAUUUGAGAGACAAUAAUGGUUUACCUAAUGGCGUCCAGAAUGCAAGUGCCUGGGAUUCCUGAACUGACUGUCCAACUCGAGGGCUAUUAUUACCUCUUUGUUUUUAGAUAAGAAGGCAAUGGUGUGUGUCUUGACAUUCUGUAGAGUAAUUCUACAGUUUACCUAAAAGAAUAAGGAAGAAAUGUUUGUUUAAAAAAAUAGAAAAAUAAUGGGUGAUAAGUCAUACAUGAUUGCAUCAAAAAGGUAAACAUUUCUAUGUGAAAAUAGAAGAUAAUUAGGGUGAAGGCAGUGUUCUUUAUCUUGAUUGUGGGGUUACACAACUAUAAUUGUAGCCAAAAUUUUUUAAAAUUUACAUUUAAAAGGGGAGAAUUUUGUGUGUGAAAAUUAUACCACCAUAAAAACUUGA